rnacentral:rRNA from 1 species
AGCGAACGUUUGCGGCGGGCCUAACACAUGCAAGUCGAACGCACUAGCAAUAGUGAGUGGCGCACGGGUGCGUAACACGUGGGUAAUCAACCCUUCAGCUUGGGAUAACGACUUGAAAGGGUCGCUAAUACCGGAUACGGCGCGGGAGGCUUCGGCUUCUCACGAGAAAGCCUCGCAAGGGGCACUGAAGGACGAGCCUGCGGCCCAUCAGCUAGUUGGUGAGGUAAGAGCUCACCAAGGCGAAGACGGGUAGCUGGUCUGAGAGGAUGAUCAGCCACACUGGAACUGAGACACGGUCCAGACUCCUACGGGAGGCAGCAGUGGGGAAUAUUGCGCAAUGGGCGAAAGCCUGACGCAGCCACGCCGCGUGAGCGAUGAAGGCCUUCGGGUCGGUAAAGACUCUGUGGGGGAGAGACGAAGAAGACCGUGAAGAGCCGGCCUUGACGGUAUCUCCUUAGCAAGCACCGGCUAACUACCGUGCCAGC